GGAGAUAUAGGAAGGGGAUGAUGACAACAGUUUACUGCGUGGGCAAUUGGAAAAAUGGAAGGUGUCUUCUGAAAGGUCCAUUAAAUUCCGCAUAUCGAAUCGUGUUUGGGAAGAAAUCAUCUCCAUCAGCAUGGACAGAAUACUGAAGCUUCAGGAAUUGCUCUUUAUCCAGUGUUAAAGUAGAGGGAAGCCCACAUGACAGCAUGACUAUCUCAUUGGCAUGAAUGCCACCUACAGGCAGGAGCCAAAAAUGAUGCUGCCAGACCAACAGAGUUUCUCCAUCGCUUUCUAUUCCUUCUUUAACCUUCUCUGCUCAAAGGACAACAAGUUUUUUAGUUUUGCCACCUAUCUAAAAUGGGUCACUAAAUAACUAAAUGAUUCACAGCGUUAUCCUUCAGGCAAGAUGAUUGAAUUUCUUAUGACGUUGGAAUGAUACACUCUCUGCACAGUGCAGCUUGAUGUUGAUCAAAUGAGAAAAGUUACAGAAGUACAUGAAUUUCUUAACUCUACAGAGCACAGAAGGCAACCUAGUUCAUUACCAAUCUAGAGAGGAAAGGAGCUAAAUUUGGCAGACAAGAUUGAUGGAUAUGCAAAACCUAAAGCACAUGCAUGCCAUUGAUUCAAUAGUUUAGCAUCUGACCCUGUAUUUAAUCCUUCAACAUUGGAGCUGAUGAAGUCAUAAGAGCGACGACCGGGGGCUGCUGGGAAGUUCCUUCUUUAAAUAACUUACGUCAUGUGUAGGCAGAGCACACGCUCAGAAGGAGU